rnacentral:rRNA from 1 species
GUGUCAGCCGCCGCGGUAAUACGGAGGAGGCAAGCGUUAUCCGGAAUUAUUGGGCGUAAAGCGUCCGUAGGUGGAUGGAGAAGUCUGUUGUCAAAGCAUGGAGCUUAACUCCAUAAGGGCAAUGGAAACUCUUCGUCUAGAGUGCGAUAGGGGCAAGGGGAAUUCCCCGUGUAGCGGUGAAAUGCGUAGAGAUGGGGAAGAACACCGGUGGCGAAAGCGCCUUGCUGGGUCUGCACUGACACUGAGGGACGAAAGCUAGGGGAGCGAAAGGGAUUAGAAACCCUAGUAGUCC